AACACGUUCCUUAGAUCCACCUCUGGGACCCCUUGCUGUCUCCACCUCUUCCGUUUUUCCCCGUUCUGCCCUGGCGCCCAUCGGGGAACCCCGCUGGGGUCCGCCUGAUGUGCGCCUGUGCAGGGCGGGGAGUUGCGGUGGUUGUGGCGCCCAGCCCUGGGUCCACCAACUUUUUCGGUUGCACGGUCGGAGGUGCAUGAGUCAUUGGCGUGUGAGAGCAAUAUACCUGCGCACUGGUCCGAUUCGGGCCCAGCGGCAGCCUAC